AAGACUGUACUUUCUGGGAUCAUUUCUAUAGUUUCUGACUUGAGAAAUGUGUUUCUAAAGUGUAUGGUCUCGCCAACCAUGAUGAUGAGUUGUGAUAUUCCCUUGUGAGCAUAAAGCUGACAGAGAAUAAUGAUUUUUUUCAUAUGUUUUCUGUUGUUGAUGAUUGUUCUUUACUUCCUUGUGGAGCAAUGAAGAAGGGCAUAUGUUCAGAGUAGA
ensembl:snoRNA U3 Small nucleolar RNA U3